GUUCGAUCCGUAAUUGCCAUUAAAAAUUUCGUUAAUCCACUAAAGGGUUGCUGAUGUUGCAUUUUUUGACUUCUGGCUAAAGCUAGGGAUCUCUUUAUAAUUAGCGCAAAAUACUUUUUUUUUGUUUAUUUGCAACAUAAAAACCGUCAAUCCUCAUCAUCGCCUAACACCUAGCAUAAAAACCACCAAUCUUCAUCACCACUCAACACCCACCGGCUCCAUCUUUAUCGCUCCUCACUCUACUGCCCCCGCACCAUAAGAUCCCUGCAACAAAGUAUUUCACAAUACCUUAAUAGAAACUAAAUUAAUAUUUUCUCUUACUUAAUAGCAAAGUUUGCCUCUCUUUUUUUAGUGGAGUUCGAUUUUUACCCUAAAUAUAAAUUGAAUUUGGUAUUUUAUUGUUAAGUUUCAUUUCAUUUCGUUCAUGAUCGUAUUAUAAGAUUCAACCAAACCUUGACAAAUGAAAUUAUGCAAAUAAAAAAAAACAUUUAUUACAAUAAAAUAUCAAUGAGAUAAUGUGUUUAUAAUGUAAAAUUUGAAAUUGUAUGUAUUUAGAAUAAAUCAAUAUUAGGUAGUUUCUUUGCAAAGAUAUGGUUGGAAAUUUUGAAGUAAUAUUAUUAUUACUAAUGAAUGUUUUUGGUGGAAAAAUAUGAGAUUUAAUUAUAAAAAAAAUGUUUGGGGACAAAUAUGCUAAUUCUUAAAAAAGAGUAGGGUUGUAAUGAAAAAGUUGUAAUCAAAUCUGGGUUCAAUUUUAAAAUUAUUUGUAAUAUUUAAUGACUAAAAGUGUAAUUGAUCCAUGCAGAACCCCUUUUAUGCAAUGGAAAAAUCAUGGAGGGUCUUCAUUGCAAUUAUCCAUUCCACAAUUAAAUUAUAAUUUUUUAAGUAUUAUUAAAUUAAUUUAAUUAAAACAUAUUGAGUAAAUGGUGGUCAUAACUUUUACCUUAAAAUACACAUUGGUAAAUUUGUUUCAAUUUAUAAUAAUAGAGAAAUUAAUUAAAUACGCUAUUAAUUUUAUAAAUUAAAUUAAAUAUUGAAUAGUAUUAUUAAACUUAUUUUAGAUAAUUGAAAAACAAAAGUGAAAUAUAUUGUUUAAAGAAAUCAGUACCGUGCUUAGGAAACAUGUUUAGUCAUGCAUAUCACCUAGUGACCUUCAACUCACUCACUCUACGAGCUCAUUCACCAUACGGCUCGCAAUUCCUCCAGCUAAUCACUUCGCUCCCGCUUGCCCCCUUUGCUAGCUAGUUGAUCCGCAAUUUGUCACCUCCCUAUUCACCGACUAGCCAGUUCACCACUCUCCAGCUUCACCUCCCAGCUCAUCUACUCGCGAGAAAACCCCUUCAAAGAUACUUAUGAGGUUACGUGUCAAACUUAGAAAGGAAAUAUGUUGUUGUGUUUGACAUUUAAU
rnacentral:lncRNA from 1 species